rnacentral:rRNA from 1 species
GUUUGGUUAAGUUAGAAAGGGCGCACGGUGGAUGCCUUGACACUAGGAGUCGAUGAAGGACGGGACUAACGCCGAUAUGCUUCGGGGAGCUGUAAGUAAGCUUUGAUCCGAAGAUUUCCGAAUGGGGAAACCCACCAUACGUAAUGGUAUGGUAUCCUUAUCUGAAUACAUAGGGUAAGGAAGACAGACCCAGGGAACUGAAACAUCUAAGUACCUGGAGGAAGAGAAAGCAAAUGCGAUUUCCUGAGUAGCGGCGAGCGAAACGGAACAUAGCCCAAACCAAGAGGCUUGCCUCUUGGGGUUGUAGGACAUUCUAUACGGAGUUACAAAGGAACGAGGUAGACGAAGCGACCUGGAAAGGUCCGUCGUAGAGGGUAACAACCCCGUAGUCGAAACUUCGUUCUCUCUUGAAUGUAUCCUGAGUACGGCGGAACACGUGAAAUUCCGUCGGAAUCUGGGAGGACCAUCUCCCAAGGCUA